rnacentral:tRNA from 1 species
GGGAAGGUAGCUCAGUGGUAGAGUACUUGCUUUGUAUGUAUGAAGCUCUGGGUUCGAUUCCUCAGCACCACCU